rnacentral:rRNA from 1 species
GACGAACGCUGGCGGCGUGCUUAACACAUGCAAGUCGAACGGGAUUUAGUAAACGGAAGCUUCGGUGGAAGAUUACUAAUGAGAGUGGCGAACGGGUGAGUAACGCGUGAGCAACCUGCCUAUGACAGUGGGAUAGCCUCGGGAAACCGGGAUUAAUACCGCAUAAAAUCGUAGAAACACAUGUUUUAACGGUCAAAGAUUUAUCGGUCAUAGAUGGGCUCGCGUCUGAUUAGCUAGUUGGUGAGAUAACAGCCCACCAAGGCGACGAUCAGUGGCCGGUCUGAGAGGAUGAACGGCCACAUUGGAACUGAGACACGGUCCAAACUCCUACGGGAGGCAGCAGUGGGGAAUAUUGCACAAUGGGGGAAACCCUGAUGCAGCGACGCCGCGUGAACGAAGAAGGUAUUCGUAUCGUAAAGUUCUGUCCUAUGGGAAGAUAAUGACAGUACCAUAGAAGAAAGCUCCGGCUAAAUACGUGCCAGCAGCCGCGGUAAUACGUAUGGAGCGAGCGUUGUCCGGAAUUAUUGGGCGUAAAGGGUACGCAGGCGGUUUAAUAAGUCGAAUGUUAAAGAUCGGGGCUCAACCCCGUAAAGCAUUGGAAACUGAUAAACUUGAGUAGUGGAGAGGAAAGUGGAAUUCCUAGUGUAGUGGUGAAAUACGUAGAUAUUAGGAGGAAUACCAGUAGCGAAGGCGACUUUCUGGACACAAACUGACGCUGAGGUACGAAAGCGUGGGGAGCAAACAGG